CAAGAACAAUCCCUCUACCUCUGCUGCCGCAAACCUUGGUCCAAUCUUGGUGCCUGACCCACGCAAACCCAUCGCUGGACAAGAUUAGGGUUCGCGCAACACAGGGGAAAAAAGGGGGAACCACGGGUCAUACCUUGCCUGGUGGCUGCCGGCGAGGAUCUGGUGGCUGCCGGUGAGGAUCUGGUCGUGGCCGGCGAGGAUCUGGUCUGGGCCGGCAAAGAGCAGUCGGGGCCGGCGAAGAGCGGUCGGGGCUGGCGAAGAGGUGGGGGAGGAGUGGGCUGACGGGCG
rnacentral:lncRNA from 1 species